CCCUUAGAUGUUCUGGGCCGCACGCGCGCUACACUGAUGAGGUCAACGAGUUCUCCUGGGUCGGAAGGCCUGGGUAAUCUUUUGAAACCUCAUCGUGCUGGGGAUAGAUCUUUGUAAUUUUCGAUCUUGAACGAGGAAUUCCUAGUAAGCGUAGUUCAUCAAACUGCGUUGAUUACGUCCCUGCCCUUUGUACACACCGCCCGUCGCUACUACCGAUGGAGUGUUUUAGUGAGGCCUCGGGACCGGUCCUGACUGGCAUUGCCUGAUGGACUGGGAACUUGGUCAAACUUGAAUACUUAGAGGAAGUAAAAGUCGUAACA
rnacentral:rRNA from 1 species